CGCGGUGAUGGCGCAGGCGACGAUGCCCUCCUUGGCGAGGCGGGUCUCGACCUCGGCGACCAUGCGGCGUUCGGGGACGCACACCGCGA
rnacentral:tRNA from 1 species